UUUUUGCAUUUCGUGCGUGUCAGAUCGUUCGUCGUGCACUUCGUGCGUCUCAUGCGGUGUGCGAUCGGCGAAGUAGUAGUCGCCGCAGUAGCUACAAUAGCAACAACAACAGCAACAGCAACUAUACGAACUAAAUUAGUGCAAAAAUUUACAACACAUGUCAUGUAAAAAUAAAAAUAUAUCUGUAUAUUUAUAUAUAUAUAUAUA